GACGAACGCUGGCGGCGUGCCUAAUACAUGCAAGUAGAACGCAGUUGCGAACGGGUGAGUAACGCGUAGGUAAAUGCCUCAUAGCGGGGGAGAACACUUGGAAACGAUAGCUCAUACCGCAUAUUGUGAGAUGGACCUGCGUUGUAUUAGCUAGUUGGUGUGGUAAAGGCUCACCAGGGCGACGCUACAUAGCCGACCUGAGAGGGUGAUCGGCAACACUGGGACUGGGACACGGCCCAGACUCCUACGGGAGGAAGCAGGAGGGAAUUUUCGGCAAUGGACGGAAGUCUGACCAGGCAAGGCCGCGUGAGGGAAGAAGGUUUUCGGAUCGUAAAGCUCGGUUGUUAGAGAAGGGGUAACGAACCAGAAGGGGACGGCUAACUACGUGCCAGCAGCCGCGGUAAUU
rnacentral:rRNA from 1 species